AGUGGCGGUCGUAAAGCUACUUGUAUGAGCCUGCGGUGUGUCAAAAUUGUUCUUAUUGCAGAUUAUAAUAGUAAAGGCGUAAACUCGUACGGAUAUUGAACGUAGCUCAAUAACUAGCUUGGCGUUGAGAAUCCAAUGUAAGAGAGUGAACGGUGUAUCGAAAGAGUUUUAGAUUUGUGCAUCUGUGAAUAGUAUAUUUAUUUAUUUUUGGAUUCCUGACUUGAGUCUAGAGAUUGAAUUGGAAGAAGAAAACUUGGUUAAUAACUUUGUCUCUCUGUUUAUCCUCAUGUACUGUCUGUCAGUCUCUAUUUCGUUUUUGAUUGUUAA
rnacentral:lncRNA from 1 species